rnacentral:lncRNA from 1 species
UAUUAGAAUGUUUCCAUGGACACUAAACUUCAAUCCAAAGGAAGAAACAUCCAUGGCUAUCGUAUGGAUCUCGUUCCCAGGCCUUCCUCCUAAUUUUUUUGCCAAAAGAUCGCUUUUAUCUAUUGCUUCUGCUGUGGGUAAACCUUUGGCUGUGGAUAAGGCAACACAGGAGAGAACACGACCUAGUGCGGCGAGGGUUAAAGUAAUACUGGAUCUUAUGGACAAACAUCCAAGAAAAAUCAAGAUUGUUAUGACGGACAGAAUUACUAGAAAUAANNNNUCCUAUCGUAUGGAUCUCGUUCCCAGGCCUUCCUCCUAAUUUUUUUGCCAAAAGAUCGCUUUUAUCUAUUGCUUCUACUGUGGGUAAACCUUUGGCUAUGGAUAAGGCAACACAUGAGAGAACACGACCUAGUGCGGCGAGGGUUAA